rnacentral:rRNA from 1 species
GCCAGACUCCUACGGGAGGCAGCAGUGGGGAAUAUUGUACAAUGGGGGAAACCCUGACGCAGCGACGCCGCGUGAGUGAAGAAGUAUUUCGGUACGUAAAGCUCUAUCAGCAGGGAAGAAAAUGACGGUACCUUAAGAAGAAGCCCCGGCUAACUACGUGCCAGCAGCCGCGGUAAUACGUAGGGGGCAAGCGUUAUCCGGAUUUACUGGGUGUAAAGGGGGCGCAGACGGCGAUGCAAGCCAGGAGUGAAAGCCCGGGGCCCAACCCCGGGACUGCUCUUGGAACUGCGUGGCUGGAGUGCAGGAGGGGCAGGCGGAAUUCCUGGUGUAGCGGUGAAAUGCGUAGAUAUCAGGAGGAACACCGGUGGCGAAGGCGGCCUGCUGGACUGCAACUGACGUUGAGGCCCGAAAGCGUGGGGAGCAAACAGGAUUAGAUACCCGCGUA